rnacentral:rRNA from 1 species
UACGUAGGUUGCAAGCGUUAUCCGGAUUUACUGGGUGUAAAGGGAGCGUAGACGGCAGCGCAAGUCUGAAGUGAAAUGCCGGGGCCCAACCCCGGAACUGCUUUGGAAACUGGCGGACUAGAGUGCGGGAGGGGUAAGCGGAAUUCCUAGUGUAGCGGUGAAAUGCGUAGAUAUUAGGAGGAACACCAGUGGCGAAGGCGGUCUGCUGGACAGCAACUGACGCUGAGGCGCGAAAGCGUGGGUAUCGA